rnacentral:rRNA from 1 species
GACGAACGCUGGCGGCGUGCCUAAUAUAUGCAAGUUGAGCGAUGAAGAUUGGUGCUUGCACCAAUUUGAAGAGCAGCGAACGGGUGAGUAACGCGUGGGGAAUCUGCCUUUGAGCGGGGGACAACAUUUGGAAACGAAUGCUAAUACCGCAUAACAACUUUAAACAUAAGUUUUAAGUUUGAAAGAUGCAAUUGCAUCACUCAAAGAUGAUCCCGCGUUGUAUUAGCUAGUUGGUGAGGUAAAGGCUCACCAAGGCGAUGAUACAUAGCCGACCUGAGAGGGUGAUCGGCCACAUUGGGACUGAGACACGGCCCAAACUCCUACGGGAGGCAGCAGUAGGGAAUCUUCGGCAAUAGACGAAAGUCUGACCGAGCAACGCCGCGUGAGUGAAGAAGGUUUUCGGAUCGUAAAACUCUGUUGGUAGAGAAGAACGUUGGUGAGAGUGGAAAGCUCAUCAAGUGACGGUAACUACCCAGAAAGGGACGGCUAACUACGUG